GGACUACCAGGGUUUCUAAUCCUGUUUGCUCCCCACGCUUUCGCGCCUCAGCGUCAGCAAUGGCCCAGCGAGCCGCCUUCGCCACCGGUGUUCUUCCUGAUCUCUACGCAUUCCACCGCUACACCAGGAAUUCCACUCGCCUCUACCAUGCUCGAGCCGAGCAGUCCCGCGUGCCGUUCCGGGGUUGAGCCCCGGGAUUUCACACGCGGCUUACCCAGCCGCCUACACGCCCUUUACGCCCAGUGAUUCCGGACAACGCUCGCACCCUCUGUAUUACCGCGGCGGCUGGCAC
rnacentral:rRNA from 1 species